AUCCUUUUAAUUUUAUGUAUAUACUACAUAAAUGACUAAUUUAUAUUAUUUAUUGUUGAGCAUAGUGCUUAUUUCUCAUCUUACGUUUUUCAGGUAAUACUGCAGUGAAGAUUCCUGGAGUUAAAUUUUUGCACAUAUCCAUGACGAUCUCCUAAUAAAUAGCAAAGAAGUGGAAUUGUUGCGUCAAAGGGCACACUCAUAUUACAGGAUUCAGCACACAUUAACAAACGAUUUCCAGAGAGAGGGUACCCAUGUCACAGUCUCAGCAACAAUGUCCUUAUACCUUCAUCAAUGCUGGGCAUUGAAUUUGACAGGUUUGGUAAUGCAAGGCUUGCCUGACUGAAUGAAAAAAUCUAAGAAGACUGAAGCACCAAUUGAGGAGACUGAAAUAAGAGUAGAGAUUGGAAAAGAAAGGAAGAAAUAUUUUCUUAUGAUUUUGCUUAG
rnacentral:lncRNA from 1 species